GGAAAAUCCGCGGCCGCUUGGCCGGAUCCGCUUGGCCGCUUGUCCGCUCCGCCUUCGGUGUGAACGUGCCUUUACCCAGUCGAAUCACCAGUGUCGCACGCACAUGCACGCUUUGCGCUGAUUUGCGCGUAGUCGGUCACAUGACUUAACGCCGCCGCCUUAUUGGAUCUCUUCACCCUUCUCUGUACGGAAUGCCUGAAAGUUGCUGGGUCGGUGCGUUCCGCGCUCGGUUCGCGCGUUUUCUCUGAACGUGGUGGUUGUGCCAUGUUCUCAUAAGUUCCAGGGUUCCAGCGCGAACGUUUGUCAGUUUCAGGCGAACGUUUUCGUCGUGCGCUUUGGAACUCCAUGUCCGCGGCGCCUGUACGUCUAUCAAGAGACCUCAGACUCUGCCCAGGCGGCGCUGCGGAAAAACCCGUCACCAGCGCCCCCAUCGGAGCCUUGGCGCGAACUGAGUAGUGCAAGGAGAGCUGUCCACCAGCAAAGGUGCAUAGGCCACAAUGGACCCUUCUCUUUCGUUUGUGUUGAGGCACGGUUUCCUAAAAAUCAAGGACCUGGAAAGCGUCUUCCGCCCAUCCACGCUUCGGAAAGGAAGCUCAGCAGGGCAAACCAUGCUGUGUUCCUGCCAUCAGCCUGGUGUCACUUUGGGUCGAACAUCAUUCUUCGUUGAUGAUCAGCACAGAAACAAGUCCACGAAAAUCUGCUAACUUUCUUAGUACCUCUGAUCUUAACAGAGCAUUUUCGUGUCUGUGACCACUGGAACUGAUCCUGCAGGAUGACUACUAAAUUGUGUAGCGUAUCCGUGAUCUGUUGUGCAUCUGCAACCAUGAAUGAAAGGCUACACCCAGCUAGUGGUAACUUCCUUAUGGGCCGAUGUACCUGUGAACUCUGGGUUAAUUUUUGUCUCUGUGACUGUUUAAGCAAGUCCACAGAAAUGCCCCACUAAAUUUCUUAGUACAUGUGAACUGCAAUGUAGUUGUCUGUGACCGCUGAGGCAGCCUGCAGUGAGCCUUAGUAAAAUGUUUAGUUGUCAAGAUACCUGUGAUCUUUUCAGAAGUAUUUGUAUCUGCUGCCAUGGAAGAACAGCCACACUCUGCCUCUGGUAACUUCCAUCAAGGCUCUCUGAUACCUGUGAAUUUUUAGGAUGAACUUGUGUUUGUGUGUGGCCACUGAAGCAAGCUGUUACGGUUGGCAUGUAACACCCCGGAAAAAAAAGGGCGCUCGAAGGACCCUGUUCAACCGGAACGAAGGAUGGAUGCCCAAUUUGCCAUGGUUGUUUCGAGUGGAUGACCGGUCUGGCAGGUGCCCACAGGUGUUCACAGGCCCCUUUGUGUGUGGGCGUGAAAGCCCUUUCCGCAAACCAGCGUCGCCUAAAGAAAGGACCAGCCACACAUCGCUGACCCGGGGUUGCCACCAGCAGAGGCAAGCUCGUGAAAGGUCACCAGGGGAAAAGGUAUCCACCGCCCAACCACAACCAGACUCAGUGCCUGCCACGUGACGUUGACGUGAGCAAGAUCCCGUCCAUGAUUUUAGUGAGCCUAUUUAAAGGGGCUCCGCAAUGUACUUUUCACUUCAUUCUCUUCUUAUCUUUCACCAACCAUUGAAUAAAUCGUGCAAGUUUCGCACAAGAA